CGGCGUGCUUAACACAUGCAAGUCGAACGAGAACGGGUUAUAGCUUGCUAUAAUUGUCAGCUAAGUGGCGCACGGGUGAGUAAUGUAUAGGUAAUAUGCCUCUUACUAAGGGAUAACAAAUGGAAACGUUUGCUAAUACCUUAUACUCCUUAUUAACAUAAGUUAAUAAGGGAAAGAUUUAUUGGUAAGAGAUUAGCCUGUAUUGUAUCAGUUAGUUGGUGGGGUAAUGGCUUACCAAGACUAUGACACAUAACUGGUUUUGGGAGGAUGAUCAGUCACACUGGAACUGGAGACACGGUCCAGACUCUUACGGGAGGCAGCAGUGGGGAAUAUUGCACAAUGGACGAAAGUCUGAUGCAGCAACGCCGCGUGGAGGAUGACACAUUUCGGUGCGUAAACUCCUUUUUUAUGAGAAGAUAAUGACGGUAUUAUAUGAAUAAGCACCGGCUAACUCCGUGCCAGCAGCCGCGGUAAUACGGGGGGUGCAAGCGUUACUCGGAAUCACUGGGCGUAAAGAGCAUGUAGGCGGAUUUAAUAAGUUUGAAGUGAAAUCCUAUAGCUUAACUAUAGAACUGCUUUGAAAACUGUUAAUCUAGAAUGUGGGAGAGGUAGAUGGAAUUUCUGGUGUAGGGGUAAAAUCCGUAGAGAUCAGAAGGAAUACCGAUUGCGAAGGCGAUCUACUGGAACAUUAUUGACGCUGAGAUGCGAAAGCGUGGGGAGCANACAGGAUUAGAUACACUGGUAGUCCACGCCCUAAACGAUGUACACUAGUUGUUGUGAGACUUGAUCUUGC
rnacentral:rRNA from 1 species